GAUGAACGCUGGCGGCGUGCCUAGUACAUGCAAGUCGAGCGAACAGAUAAGGAGCUUGCUCCUUUGACGUUAGCGGCGGACGGGUGAGUAACACGUGGGUAACCUACCUAUAAGACUGGAAUAACUCCGGGAAGCCGGGGCUAAUGCCGGAUAACAUUUAGAACCGCAUGGUUCUAAAGUGAAAGAUGGUUUUGCUAUCACUUAUAGAUGGACCCGCGCCGUAUUAGCUAGUUGGUAAGGUAACGGCUUACCAAGGCAACGAUACGUAGCCGACCUGAGAGGGUGAUCGGCCACACUGGAACUGAGACACGGUCCAGACUCCUACGGGAGGCAGCAGUAGGGAAUCUUCCGCAAUGGGCGAAAGCCUGACGGAGCAACGCCGCGUGAGUGAUGAAGGUCUUCGGAUCGUAAAACUCUGUUAUUAGGGAAGAACAAAUGUGUAAGUAACUGUGCACGUCUUGACGGUACCUAAUCAGAAAGCCACGGCUAACUACGUG
rnacentral:rRNA from 1 species